CCUACGGGGAGCAGCAGUGGGGGAUAUUGCACAAUGGGGGGAACCCUGAUGCAGCGACGCCGCGUGGGUGAAGGAGUGCUUCGGCAUGUAAAGCCCUAUCGGCAGGGAAGAAGCAAGACGGUACCUGACUAAGAAGCCCCGGCUAACUACGUGCCAGCAGCCGCGGUAAUACGUAGGGGGCGAGCGUUAUCCGGAUUCACUGGGUGUAAAGGGAGCGUAGACGGCCAUGCAAGCCAGGGGUGAAAGCCCGGGGCCCAACCCCGGGACUGCCCUUGGAACUGUGCGGCUAGAGUGCGGGAGGGGCAGGCGGAAUUCCUGGUGUAGCGGUGAAAUGCGUAGAUAUCAGGAGGAACACCGGCGGCGAAGGCGGCCUGCUGGACUGCGACUGACGUUGAGGCUCGAAAGCGUGGGGAGCGAACAGGAUUAGAUACCCGGGUAGUC
rnacentral:rRNA from 1 species